CAGGAUCCAAAUGACAAGAAGAUACUUGUCUAGCACCAUUACCAUCAUUAGCAGAUUGUUGGUGACUACUGCCAUCUCAUGAGAUUAGAAAGAAUACAUGAACCUCAAAAAAUCAAAGAAGAGAGAAUAUCAAAGAGAAGAAAGAAAGAAAGAUUUCUUCACUAAGUUCAACAUGAAUACAAAGAACCUACAAUAUUUAUACUAAGUUUUAACAAAGAAGAUGAGUAACAAAAUGAAUCAAGUAAGUCAAUAACUUAUUAACAACCUAAUUGUUGCAGCAGUUCAUUAUGCUUAAUUGCUGUUGCAGCUUAUUUCUUGACAUUCACCGUACCUUUUGGCUGCUGCUACUGAAGCUUGCGAACAGCUCAACUGCUGCAAUUCAAUCCUUAACACAUUAAAACAUUUAAAAUUUUCAUUUAAUCAUAAAUUAAAAUUAAGUAAUAAAAUUCAAUAAAAUUUAUUGUUUAGGAAAACCGAAUCCUAUAAAACUAAAAUGAAAAAGUUACAUUAUACCAAAAAAAAAAUGGAAAUGUUUUGUUUAUUGAAUAAAAAAUAACAAGGUUAAACAAAAUAAAAUAUAAUUAUGAAUUUGGGUAUCCGAUAGAAAGUUAUUCCCCUUAACAUCCUUUAAAAUUUUAAAAAUAAACAAAAUAAAACAAAAGAGACUGACUAUUAUUUAUUCAUUUCUUUCUUCUCUUUUGAUUCAUUAGCUGAGUUAUAAUAUUCAGUUAUUUGGUUCUAUGUCUUAAAAAAUAUGACACAAAAUCUCGAUGAAUUCGACUCGAAGUCGAGUUUAAAAUUCUUUUAACUAACUUCUAAAAAUAGACAAAAGAAAAACAAUAAAUUAAAUUCCAAAAUAAAAAAAAAUGAAACAAUAUUUGGGUAAAAAGGUUUUUUUUAAUCGCAUUUUUAACUUUAAAACACUUGCGUUUUCCGUUAUUUUUGCGGUAAAAAAUAUACUUUUAAGUUAAAAGUGGUUUUUCACCUUAAUAUAGAAUGCAUAUAAAAUUCUUGACCCCGAAAUUUAAAAAAAAAAAAAAAAAGUGCUGCUGUUUUAACUCAGCCAAUGAAUCUAAAGAGAAGAAAGUAAAGAUGUAUCUUUCAAUUUUCGAA
rnacentral:lncRNA from 1 species